UAGGGAAUCUUCCGCAAUGGGCGAAAGCCUGACGGAGCAACGCCGCGUGAGUGAUGAAGGUCUUCGGAUCGUAAAACUCUGUUAUUAGGGAAGAACAAAUGUGUAAGUAACUAUGCACGUCUUGACGGUACCUAAUCAGAAAGCCACGGCUAACUACGUGCCAGCAGCCGCGGUAAUACGUAGGUGGCAAGCGUUAUCCGGAAUUAUUGGGCGUAAAGCGCGCGUAGGCGGUUUUUUAAGUCUGAUGUGAAAGCCCACGGCUCAACCGUGGAGGGUCAUUGGAAACUGGAAAACUUGAGUGCAGAAGAGGAAAGUGGAAUGCCAUGUGUAGCGGUGAAAUGCGCAGAGAUAUGGAGGAACACCAGUGGCGAAGGCGACUUUCUGGUAUGUAACUGACGCUGAUGUGCGAAAGCGUGGGGAUCAAACAAG
rnacentral:rRNA from 1 species